rnacentral:sRNA from 14 species
GUAGGCUAUGGUGACAGUCUCCCUACAACAGCAUUUGGUAAAUUCAUAGCAUCAGGAGCAAGUAUAGGAGGAGUUUUAGUAUUAGCAUUUCCAAUAACUAUGAUAGUUGAAAAU